CAUGAGAUACCAUGGGAAGGAUAAAAAGAAACUACUCAUGAUAUCAUCAGACUGUUUGCUGUCUCCAGUGCUUCCCACAGACACACUUCAUGGUGUUUUAAAUCCACAGCUGACUAAUAUUUGCCCUUGUUGUUUGACAGAGUGGGAAACCAAGAGAAAAGCCCAAAGAUGGUCAACUUGGAUUCCAGGAAAUGAAGCCAUGAAGUGAAUAUUCAGAUAACAUUGUGUGUCCCAAUCCUUUUCGGCCAGCCCUCUCUGUUCUACUACUUUUUUGAAAAGGACAUCAUACUGCCAUCUGCCAGGAACAGAAUGCUCCAAAACCAAGAUUUUCCCUUGAGCCAAGCUGCUGUCACUCUGAGCCUGUCCAGGCCAUUUACAAAUUAUAUAUCUUUACAGUUGUAUAAAUUUGGAAGAGAAAGAGACAUUGUUCCCAUGGUCACGAUGGGUUAACUGUUCUGAAACACCUUCCUGUGUGUGUACAGGUCCUACCAGUUCUGUCUCAGGUGCCUGUCACAAGGAUGCUUUUUUUGAUGCAGGCAAAGGGACAGCACCCCCAGCAACGGAAGUUGGAGUGCUUUGCCCAUUGGCAGGACCUGCUAAGAGGCUGUGUCAAGGCCACUGGAAAGAAGGGGAUUCUGGGAGACACUGGCUCUGGCAUUCUUCCUGGGGUGGGG
rnacentral:lncRNA from 1 species